rnacentral:rRNA from 1 species
UGAAUGGUGGAACGAGGCUUAACUGUCUCCCCUUUCAAGUCAAUGAAAUUGAUCUGCCCGUGCAGAAGCGGACAUAUAAAUACAAGACGAGAAGACCCUUUGGAGCUUAAGAUACAAGAUCAACUAUGUCAAUGAAUCAUAAAACUAAAUAGCACCUGAUCCCAAUCUUCAGUUGGGGCGACCACGGGAUAAAAUAAAGCUCCCACGCGGACCGGGUAACCACCCCAAAACCAAGAGAAACACCUCUAAGUCGCAGAAUUUCUGACCAAAAAGAUCCGGCCCCCCGCCGACCAACGAACCAAGUUACCCUAGGGAUAACAGCGCAAUCCCCUUUCAGAGUCCAUAUCGACAAGGGGGUUUACGACCUCGAUGUUGGAUCAGGACAUCCUAAUGGUGCAG